rnacentral:rRNA from 1 species
UACAGAGGGUGCGAGCGUUGUUCGGAAUUAUUGGCGUAAAGCGAGCGUAGUCGGUUAUUUAAGUCGGGUGUGAAAUCCCCGGGCUCAACCUGGGAAUUGCAUUCGAUACUGGAUAGCUAGAGUUCGGCAGAGGGAAGCGGAAUUUCCGGUGUAGCGGUGAAAUGCGUAGAUAUCGGAAGGAACAUCAGUGGCGAAAGCGGCUUCCUGGACCAGAACUGACGAUCAGGCUCGAAAGCGUGGGGAGCAAACAGG